rfam:Trichobilharzia regenti genome assembly, scaffold: TRE_scaffold0001432
GUCCAGAUGACGAGUUCCAAAUAGGACGAAAUGCGCAUCCUAGAU